rnacentral:lncRNA from 1 species
CAUGAUCUAACAAUCGAAAAUACAUCCAUCAUCAGAUACGACGGUUCAGACUCGUUGCCGACUUUAAAUAGGACUCUUCUGCACGAUCCGACGGUCCAGAAACGAUCCAUCAAGCGAUCGGAUGGUUGAGGAUGUUUUCAACUUUGAAUAGGAGUUCUUUUGCAUGAUCUGACAGUCAGAACUUCAUCAGAACCAAUCCCAGGCC